UUAUGAAAAAAUCAAGUUUGAGAACUAGGUUUUGUGUUUAUUGAUCUAGUUUACUUAGUCAUAUUCACUAAGUCGUCAAUAUGGUAUGCUUUCAACAAUAACAUAGUAAUUUGAAUGCCUCGUACAUUUUAGGCGAUUUUCUAUUACAAUGUUUUGGUAGAGAAUACGUAUUUG
rnacentral:sRNA from 1 species